AUACGGAGGGUGCAAGCGUUGUUCGGAAUCACUGGGCGUAAAGGGCGCGCAGGCGGUUUGGUAAGUCAGAUGUGAAAGCCCACGGCUCAACCGAGGAAGUGCAUUUGAAACUGUCAGACUUGAGUACUAGAGGGGAAAGUGGAAUUCCCGGUGUAGAGGUGAAAUUCGUAGAUAUCGGGAGGAAUACCGGUGGCGAAGGCGACUUUCUGGCUAGAUACUGACGCUGAGGCGCGAAAGCGUGGGGAGCAAACAGGAUUAGAAACCCUAGUAGUCC
rnacentral:rRNA from 1 species